AUUGAACGCUAGCGGGAUGCUUUACACAUGCAAGUCGAACGAGUGGCGGACGGGUGAGUAAUAUAUCGGAACGUGCCCAGUAGCGGGGGAUAACUACUCGAACGAGUGGCUAAUACCGCAUACUAUUGGAUGAACCCAUAUGGGAUUGUCUAGUAGGUGAGGUAAUGGCUCACCUAGGCGACGAUCCCUAGCUGGUCUGAGCGGAUGAUCAGCAACACUGGGACUGAGACACGGCCCAGACUCCUACGGGAGGCAGCAGUGGGGAAGAUUGCACAAUGGGCGCAAGCCGGAUGCAGCCAUGCCGCGUGUAUGAAGAAGGCCCUAGGGUUGUAAAGUACUUUCAGCGGGGAGGCGUUACCCGCAGAAGAAGCACCGGCUAACUCCGUGCCAGCAGCCGCGGUAAUAC
rnacentral:rRNA from 1 species